rnacentral:sRNA from 1 species
AAAAGGAAACAGUAAAAUAACAGUGCUGCAGUGCUGGGUUUUGGACAUUGUGUGUGCCAAGUGCACAAAAGGACCCAAAUGGCACAUUGAAGAUACACAUUGGAAAAUUAAUUAGCGCUUCGAGGCGAACGAGCAAUAUUAACAAAGAUUAAUGAAACAUAAAUAGUUACAGUGGAAUAUCGGUACCAUUGGAGAAUCGAAUGAAUUUCUUCUUCUAGUAUGGCAACACUGUUGUGUGCACAUAAGUAUAACGGUAAACUUUCUCUUUGUGACACGACCAUCGCAUCAGCAGUCACUCAUCCUCAGUUAGAAGUCAGGCAUUGAAGCGUGCAGAUGUUUAGUCAAGAACAGUGAAUGAUUGAAUUUAAGAAUUUGGUGAGUUAGCUUACAAUUUAACAACAGUCUCAAAGUGAAAUGUGCAUGGAGAUGAAACAUGGGAAUUGGCAUGAUUGUAAUCACAAAGUGUCAACAUCGUUAUGCCUCUCAUCAAUAUUUGUGAAGCUUUUUAUCUGGACAAGGAAUGCUACGGAAUGCUCUCAUCCAUCCCACUUUCAAUCAAGUGCAUAAAUUCUGAUUUUUAUCUUGUGAUGUCUGGUAUCAAUAAACAAACAAACAAACAAACAAACUCCGUGGAUGUAUGCCGGAACACUGGGGCGCCCUGGCUGCCAUCAACCGGAGGAGGAUGAAGGAGUUACUUGCGUUAGAUAAGAAAUCGCUGAGACAGGGGUCAUAACUAUCGUCGAUGAUAACCCAAAAUUCGAUUCUGUGUGAUUAUAACGAGUGAAGAACAAACCACGAAUGUCGAGGGGCCAAAUACUGUAACAAGGGGACUAACUGCAUCAAAUUUCAGUAAAACACCCACCUGCAGGACGCAGCCAACACAACAACGAGUCAGCCAUAUCAACCAUACGCUUCUGCAUUCUAAUUAGCUCCACCCAGGUUGUAACACCAAAGCCGAGGCAGCUAUUUGUCAAAAACAAAAUGAAAAGCUUAAUAAAGGAAGCAAGUGCACCAACCAAUCGACCAUUUUGAAAUGGUAGCUGAAAUUUUUCAAAUUAUCUUAUAUGGGAACAAAAAUUGCGUGAGUUUGCAACUGGAUGUGCUUAUUAUGGUCCUGGUUUGUCACAAACACGCACACACACACACACUCGCACGAGCUCAUUCAUAUGCUUGACCAAUGCUUUUGAAUGAUAAAAAUCUUGAAGAGUUGGUCUUAUCUUAAGAAUGGCAUCAAUAAAAGAACUUUGCAUGGCUGAUGCAACGCUUAGAGAGUAUAGAAAGGUGAAAGAAUGUGCACGAGAUGGCAUCGGCAGACAUACAUCAGACAUGUGGA